CCUUACUGUUCAAAGCAUUUAGUGACAUAAUGGAAGAAAUAUGGGUUGUCAUUUUGGGGCAUGUACCUAAGGUCCAACUAACGGAAGUGAAGAGUGAAGCAGCUAGUGUAUCCUAAAACAAGUGAUCUUUAAAAGUUAUACGGAUACUUAUGUCUGCUCAUCUCUUCCUGAUAGGUGCAGGGACGGCCAUACCUUCUAAAUUUUGUCACAGUCACAGUCCAUAUAUCCUUAAUUUUACCCACUUCUUGCAUUAUAAUGACCCUUUUUUGGAGCACCAUGGAAACACUGGCAAAUUGGGUCACAACCUUGUGUGUGUCAUCUUCACAGCAGGUCAUGCCCAGAGGCUCAGCAAGGAAAUUGAGAAUGACCAGACUGGUAAAUAUGCACAUCUGAAGGGUGUUCCCAAAGCCCUUCUGCCCUCCCCUCAAGGCAAGAGAACUCUGGAUCACUGGUGGGAUGCCAUCAACAGACGCCAGUUAUUCAGUGAUGUCUUUUUGGUGACCAAUGCAGACAAGUAUAAAUAUUUUGAACGCUGGGCUACAGCUUCAGACUUCCCUGUUGGCAAUAUCAUAAACGACGGCUCCACCACCCCGGCUAAUAGCAUUGGGGCCUUGGCAGACCUGGAACUUGCUUUGCGCACCAAAAAUCUCUGGGAUUAUGAUAUUCUCAUCAUUGCAGGAGACAUGGUAUUCCAGGACAGCAAGUUUGAUAUUGCCCAGGUGGUUGAUUAUUUCUCACACAAGCCUGAUGGUGACCUUGCAAUCUAUUAUGAAAUGGAGGAAAAUGAGAGCACAACUUCAAGGGGGCUAGUGGAAGUCUGCCCUGAGAGUAACAGGAUUUUGAAGUUCCUCGAGAAGCCAUCCCCAGAGGAAACAGCUUCACGUAAUGCCAGUGUUGUUUUCUACACAUUUCGCAGCUCAACAAUCCAAAUGCUCUUGAAGUACCUGCAUGAAUUCCCAAAUACUGAACAGCGCACUUUUGGAGCCUUCAUGAGUUGGCUUAUAAAUGUCCAAAAUGUGAUGGUUUAUGGUAUGAAGCUGCCUACAGGCUUUCAGCUCAUUGGCCAAGUGGGCUUGAAGGAUUAUGAGUCUUGGCUAUCUUACCUCACCAGUCAGGCUGAGAAAGAAUCUAAAGACCCUAUCUACAAGAGAGCAUAUGCAAGAGUUGGUUUGAUGGGAAAUCCUUCUGAUGGCUUCAAUGGGAAGACCAUAUCUCUCUCCAUAGCUAACUUCUGGGCUGAGGUCACCAUUGUAGAGAGCCCUAAGUUGAGGCUUAUCCCACAUCCUCUUAAUGAUCCCACUGAAUUUGGCUCCAUGGCUGAUCUGCAUGGCAUCAGCACAAAGGAAGGAUAUCUGGGCGGGUUGCGUCUCCUUCAAGCUACAUGCAAAAAGUUCUACAGCUUCUGUGCAAAGAGAGGAAUUGCACUGACACGGCGCAACUUCACGCUGUCUUAUGACACCAACAUCCCACGCCAGGUUGGGUUGGCAGGCAGCUCAGCCAUUGUGACAGCUACACUGAAAUGCCUGAUAGCUUUCUUCAACCUGAGUGACCAUGACAUUCCACGGCCCCUGCAGCCACAGUUUAUCUUGGAUGUGGAGAAGGAUGAGCUCCUCAUUAAUGCAGGACUUCAAGACAGGGUGGUGCAGAUCUAUGAAGGACUAGUUUACAUGGACUUCUCUAAGACAGUGAUGGAACAACAGGGACAUGGAAAUUACAGUCAUUUAGGUGCCUUACUACCACCAAUGUUCCUGGCCUAUCGUCUUAAUCCCAGUGACUCAGGCCAGAUCCACUCCAAUGUGUCCAUGCGCUGGCAAGCAGGGGAUCAGGAAGUGAUAGCUGGAAUGCAAAAGUUUGCCGCUUUGACGGAUAAGGCAACUGAGGCUAUUCAAAGCCAGGACUGGUCUGCUUUAGCCCAGCUCAUGAAUGAAAAUUUUGAUCUGAGACGACAACUGUAUAAUGAUGCCGUCCUUGGAGAAGAGAACCUACGUAUGGUGACACUUGGGAGGAGUAUGGGAGCAGCAGUCAAGUUUCCUGGUAGUGGAGGAGCUGUGUUGGGCAUGCUUAAUGAUCAGACAAAGAUGGAGGAAGUGCGGCAUCGAUAUCAAGAAGACGGAUGUGUGGUUGUGGAGGUGCUUCCUAAAUGGCCAGAUGAUCUUUAGGAGAUACCCGUUCCUCAGUUUAGCAGUAUGAUAGCAUGCUACAAUUGCACUUCCAUCUAAGCAUCUCCUGCCACUCAAAGCAUGUGCAGGAAUACUACAGAAUAUGUUGGUUACUUCAUGAAAGAGCUUGAGUUGCCCUAUCUGAUGCAUGCAACAACUCAAUUUCGACCCGGGUGUCACUUACCUUGCUAUAGCAGGGGGCGCCACAAUUCAUUAACCAUGAAUUCUAAUAAAGUUAAUGAGAAGAGCCAAGCAAUUAAGAAAAUAGUUGGGAUCACCAUGGAGGUGAAAAAAGAGAUUGUAAGGAAAUGUUGAAAAUAAAAACAUGGCCCUGUUCAGUGACACGCCAAGUGUGUUGUUGACAUCUCAGUAGCUUGGCUGUGUUCUUUGCCUUGUCUCCGUGACAAGGCCACUACCUCUGUUUUAUUACUGUAAUCAUGUACAAUAUUUUUACUAUUGUGAUUGUUUGCCCUUUUUUCAGCUGUACUGCUAGCUUGCUUUAAAUUACAUGUUUAAAUACAUAAAAAAAAAAAAAAUCCUGAAUUUGCCCUGCUGAAAUGGGGGUGCAUUUUAUAUGCCUGUGCAUCGUAUAUGCCAUGAAAUAUGGUAUGUAUUUUAGUAUCAAGCAAUAUUUAAAUUAUUUUAUGCAACCUUAUCAAUAUACUGGAUAAUAUACCAAUAAUAAUAGGAUUUUUCAUGGGAAUGGAUAAAAAAUUUUUCCUUUAUUUCUUAUGGGAAAAAUUUGUUUGGUAUAUGUCCUGUUUGGUAUAAGUCCAAGGAUCUAGAACAGAUUAAGGAUGUAUACUGAGGUACCACUGUGCUUUAGAUUGUCAUACUUACAUACCCAGUGAAUUAGAUAUUUAAUCGUAGGAAAAAAUUAUAUGAGCCAAAAAAAUUUAAUUAUUUAGCUUAGAGAAUAAUAAUUCUUAGUCUCCAAGGAUACUAAAUUCAAAUCAACUGAUUUUCCCAGUAAACUAUCUUAAUGAUCUUUGUGGCCAGUGCCUUCACAAAUUAUAUAACCUAUAUGUGGCCUUCAUGAGAAGAAUCUUGUGGCACCACUAUAGGCCUGGGAUAUCCAUUCAAGCCUUCAUGGAAUAUCCAACAGGCUGUGCAGGACUAAUAUGUAGAAAUGAGUAAAAAUGUAUGCAUAAAUAAGACACAAAGGAUCCACAUAACCAUUGGCCUCACAUAAGUUGAUGAAAUUUGCAAACCAGUAUUUUUAAAGUAUCUUACAUGAUCGCAUCCUAAAUUACAUGCUUUGGUGACUUAUCAGCUUUACAGAGAACUCUUAUUGUGCCUUUGAGAUUCUCUUGUUUUAAAUAUCAUGUGGUAUUAUUUAUUUAGGUUACUGUAUAUGCAAAACUUUUCAUGCUUUUAUCAAUACUGAAGAAUCAAUACUGAAAUUUUCUAUAUAAAACAAGUUUCUUGAGUAUGAUGGUGUAACUGAAUUAUUGAUAAAGCAAUGUAUAAGUGAAACAGAAUUGUUUCAAGGAACAUUGUUAGGUUAUACAUAUUUUAGAUUCUGACAGUAAUAUAUGGGGCAAAAUUUUAUAGAUGGUAAUCUAUGUUUAAUUUAAAUCAUAUGCAAUAUUAGUUUAUGUUAUACAUGUGCCAGCCCAGUGAGCCAAACCUAUAAAAAGGGCCAAACAGGUGGUGGCGCUCUCUCUAUCAAUCAAUCAAUACAAACACACACUGGCUCCAGCAACUCUCCAGCUUGGCAUCCCACUAGUUCCAUCACCUCCAUAAACACCCACUGCUAAGUGUUCUUAUGUUACAUUGGGCCCUGUAUAUAUAGGUCACUUAUGGAUUAAACAACAAGUCCACAGCUAUAACACCAUAGAUGUGACAAUAUUGUAUCCUCCACCAAAGUGGCUGUUUUAGUAUGUGAGCAUUGGCCAAGAUCUUGGCUAAGUGUUUCCAGGCAGUCAUACUUUGGUCAGGAUGUCAAAGGUUUCUCUCCCUUGAUCAUAUUAUUGUCUCUACUUGAAUAAGAUGUCUUCAACUUAUCAGCUUUCAGGCAAAGAUGCUGCUUGGCCAACUGUCUCUUCUCUCUGUUGCAUCAUAACAGUACACUUGUUGAUCACUACAAACACCUAAGGUGGACUUACCUGGACUGAUUACCCAGUCUCUAUUUUUGGAUCAUGCAUUAAUCUACAGCUUAGUACAGCUUUAAGUAUUUUUUUUCUUUGCUUAAGCAACAUUCCAUACUUGUAUUGGAAUCUUGCUUCUUUAUAAUCUACAUAAGACUGCUUUUUUGUUCACUCCAGCAAGCUCCAGAAGAUUGUUACAGGUGCCAAUGACCAUCAGUCCUCUACUCCUUUAGAUGCAUUGAAAAAGAGCAAAAAAUCAGCCCAUUGGGAUAAGUGUUAUGGAAUGACCAGUGUCAAGAGUAUCAAAUGCCACAGUUCCUCCUAUAGACAAGCCUAGGAAAGGGAGAUUGUUGAUCAAAACACAUCAAGCUGUUUUUCAUGUGAAAGAAGAAUGCCAUAAAUAGGGUAAGAAAAUAUUCUCUUGGUUUAAACAAUUUUUAUAUCAUUAGAAUGCCACAAUAUCAAAGAAAUAGAUAUUAUCAGUACAUAUUUAUUUUUUUCAAAAAUUACCCCUUUAGGUAUUUAUUUACCACAGAUUUAUUUCAUGAAUAGGUAUGGACAACCCAACACAUGCUUAGAUCCUGUUAAGAUUAAAUGAAAACAAAACAUGUAACAGAGAGAGAGAGUGUGUGUGUGUGUGUGUGUGGGUGUUUUUAAUUGUAUUGUACAGGGCACAAGCCGAAGUUUAUUUUGUCCUGUCUUCAUAUCCAUAUUUAUCCAGUUUCUUUUUAAACAUGUUUGCUGCAAUCACCUGUGUGCGUGUGUGUGUGUGUGUGUGUGUAGAUUUAUAAAGAAUGGUUGAUGUAUUUAGCUUCAAGAUUAAAAUAUCAAGAAUAUUUUGGAGUUGUGAACAUGCAUUUCAUUGAUGAAUGUUAUCAUACCUCAUAUUGUUAACCUAAAUAAUAAUACACCCUAUUCAGAUAUCCAUUUCAUAUAUUUUCAUUGCCUCAUUGAGUGUUUAUCCAUAUUUUCUUGUGUUAUGUAACUACUCAAAUCAGUCUUGCAUAACAAUAUAAUUUUACAUAGAAUUCUUAGGUAUUUUUAUUUUUUUUUAUUUUACCUCAUUUGGAAAGUUAAUAUCAGUAAAGUUUAAGGAAACUGAAAUUAGUAAAAGUCUGGAGCAUAUCUGGGAUAAAUGGGUGUUGGGUGGUAGGGACCAUUGCCAUAAAAGUUGUUGUAUGAGUAAGGAGACUUGGCUGAGUAUUGGGGCCUUUGGUAGAAGGGGAAUCGAGGACGAGGGCUGCUGAAGGAGUCCGCAGGUAUGAAGGGAAAUUCAUCUGUGUAGUCAUCAUAUUGCCUCACUGGUUGAUGAGGAUACAUUUCUGACAUGGUGUCUUCUCGGAACAGACUCAGUGGUGCGUUGUUGGAUGCGUGGGAAGAAAAGACUCGUGGUCCAUUGGCAUAGUAAUUAUGAACUCCUGAAUAGUCAUGUUCCUGGAAAGACUUAAAAGGUGCUGAAUAUGGCACUGGUGGUGAUGUGUAUGAAAACCGAUGUGGAAGAUCAUCAUAUUGUUGCAUUGAAUUAUAUGAUCGUGAAGAAUAUAAAGGAGAAUAAUUAUUGUAUUUUGUCAUGUACGUAUCAUCAUAGAAGGAAGGAUUCAGUUGUUGCAGCAAUUCACGAAAUGAGAACCUUGGGGUUUUAAAUGCAUCAGGAUAAUUUCUUGGUGAUGAGAAGGUAUCAGGACCCAUGAAUUCAAGUCUGCGUGACAUGCUUGGUGAUGGCAAAUACUGAGGAGGCAGAUCAUCAUCCAAGACUUCAUUUAGCAAGGUAAAUGGGUUCCUCAUGAUGGGUGUUUUCAGGGAGCGACGGGGCAGAGGACGUGAAAAAGACAUGUCUUCAUCCAUGUGGUCAAAGAAUGCUGGAGUUUUUCUUCUUAGGAGCUUAUCGCUGAUGGAAAAAUAGGUUUUAGGGAAGAGUUGAUCUGAAGUCCCAUGUGGCACCCAAAAAGGUUUUGUGGGCUGGUUCUCUGCAUACUUGAUGACAGGCUCUUGAGGUUCGUGAGUGUUGACAUAGUCAUCAACCAUGGGUGUGAUGGGGAAGUCAUCAAAAUUUUUUCUGGUAUCUUUGAAAACAAUGAUAUUCAUGGCAUCAUUUUCAAGGCUAUCUGAUACAUAAUCUCUCCUCAAUGGUGAAAUUUUGUCAUCCUCUGCAUCCAAGUUUGAUGUAGCAUCCAUCAUUAUGGAUUUUGCACCACUCCAGGGCUCAACCUGGUCCUCUCUUACAAUUUCCCUCUUCAAGAUGUCUAAUAGAGAGGGGUAAUUCAUCUCUGGCUCUACAUCUGCAAUGUAUGUUGGUUGGCUCUCCAAGAUGGUAACUGGUAUGUCUUCUCCCAGGUACUCUGUUUGGUCUUCAUUGCUAUUCUCAGCAGGCCAUAACAAACUAGAUCUUUCAUCCUUAAAUGGAGGAUACUCAGGGAACAGAAUAUCACCAAACAUUUCUGUAUCUGGCUGAUCUUGUUCUUCAUCACCCAGAUAAGUUUUCAUUUCUGGUUCCACAUGAAAAAGUCCAUCAUUCAAUGAGUCUUCCUCAUUGAGAGGAACUAGUUCCUCCCCUCCAUCCUCUGAAUUGCUGCUCUCAGGAUAUUCUUGUGGGAUAUCUGUGAAAGCUGGGUCAUCAUUUAUUGGGAUAUAGAAGUCAGCAAAUGACACAUCACCAGCACCAUCCUCUGUCUCAAAUGGUACAUCAUCAGCAGCCUCCUCUGUCCCCUCAAAUGUAAUUGACUCCAUAUUCUCAUUGUCCACCACUUCAUGUUUGUCUUCCAAGUAUGAGUCAUCAGAACUAACUGUGCCAUCAAAAGUCUGAGCAGCAAAAUUAGGUUCCUCCCAGUAUGGAAUCUGGUCCAGCUCUUGAGACUCAGACUGCAUCUCAGGUUCACCAUCAAAGGAAUCCUUUUCUGACAUGUCAUCAUGAUAGCUGGUGAUAAAAGGUGGUUCAUCAUAGUCUAAUGACUCAUCAAAAUAAUCAGGGACAAGCCAGCUGAAGAGGUCCACUGGACUGUCAUCUUGUGAUUCAUGGUACAAUCCCUCAACUGGACCAUCAUCAUGUACUGAAGGCAUAUCUCUUCCCCAGUGUGGUGGGUCUUCCCUCAUAUUCAAUCCAUCAUCAUAGUCUGGUUGUUCUCCCAUCAUAGGGGAUCCAGAAUCAUAGUCAUCAGACCUAAAAAGUCCCUCCAUCUCAUGUGGCACUUCUUCAUACUCUGAUUUCAGAGGCUCCUCAAUAAAUGGGAAAGAAUCCACUAGACUGGGCCCAAGAAAUUCUCCAGAAUCAUUAGGGAAUGAAUCCUCCUGUGAUUGAACUGAAACAUCUUCCAUUGGUAGUUCUUCAUGUUCAAAAGGAAAGGAAUCCAUCUUUGGCUCAAAAGAGAAUUCCUCUUCAUCAGAAUCAUAUGGAACAGGUUCCAUCUGUGGUUCUUCUGGGUUGGGCAGGAAUGGCUCUUCCUCCUGAUUGAAUGGGAGUGGGAUCAUCCUUUGCUCAUACUCAAAUGUACCUUCUGUAUCCAAGGAAAGAAGCUCCUCAUCCGCCUCCAACACCACAUAUCCUUCAUCUGUCUCACCAGGGAAUGUUUCCAUCUGUUGAUCAGAAUUAAAUUCAUCUUGCUCAAGUUCUUCAGAUUCAUAUGAGAGAUUUUCUUCUUGUGGAUACACUUGUAUGAAUGGUGGCUCAGGCCUUAUUUCAACUACUGAAGGCUCUGAGUCUUUACCUGGUACCUCACCUUCUGAUACAUGAGGCCCCUCACUUGAGUCUAUCUCAGGACCUUGUACAUGUGGCUGAGGCUCUGGUAGGUCUUGUGGCUGUGACUCUUCUUGUGGUGGGUCUUGUGGCUGGGGCUGCUCUUGUGGUAGAUCCUGUGGCUGUGGCUCCUCUUGUGGUGGGUCAUGUGGCUGUGGCUCCUCUUGUGGUAGAUCCUGUGGCUGUGGCUCCUCUUGUGGUGGGUCUUGUGGCUGUGGCUCCUCUUGUGAUUGGUCUUGUGGCUGAGGUUGUGAUGAGUCUUGUAGCUGUGGCUGUGUCUGUGGAGGGUUUUGUGGCUCUGACUGUAAUUCUACCUGUAGGUCUUGUGGCUGUGGCUGCUCCUCCACUUUGGUUGGCACAAUAGAGGGUUUGUCAUCUCUUGUCAGUGCAAGGUCAUUUUCCUCAGGGUUAGAACUGAGAAUAAUUUUAAGUAAAUCACUGGGGGAUGGUGGCGCCUGCUUCAGCACAGGGAGGGCAGCCACAACUGCCAGUCCUGCCACCAGUAGUAUCAC